CGGAAAGAGUAACUGCUAACCAGCAAUAUACGCUAAAGACUGUUGAAAGAAAGUAGGGUGAUAAAAAAUGUUUUAAGUAAUUAUUAGUCAACAAGAUCCGUGUGGAAACUAUCGGAACACUUGAGACAAGGGUAUAAAAGAUCGAGAAAGACAAGGUGUAUGACUAAGAUAAAAAAAAAUUGCUUAGUGAUGUAUAGAAUAGACAAUCAACAAAGCACUAAACUACACAGGCGAAAACGGUAACAACAACGUAAAUAAUGAAUUUACGCUCCUUUGAACGAACUAUACCAAACGAUAGCAACUAUGUCAGCAGUCCGUGAAGAACCAAGUAAAAACAAAGUGUUAACGAAACUAUUAAUUAAAAGAUUGAAGUUUUCGCAGGCGUUGAAAAGAAGUAAUACUGAGGCUUACUAAGAGUUACCGAUAAUCUAUUUAUAUAUACCCAAGUCAAAAACUGGGAGUAAGAGAAUUCGCGAAUUUAAAAAAACGGAAAAUCAUCGCUACUAAAAAUCCGACCCUCUACACGAUUUGAUUGGUUUGCUACAGCUUAAUGUGCAUCCUAACCCCUGAUGUAAUGGGGUAGACUUUACAAUUUGAUUGGUGUUCUAAAAAACGGGGCAUGAGCUCAUACCCAUGAUUACCCACAACAACCGAUGUUUACUCCAUACUUCAAUUGCCUAACUACGUCAUUAUCAAGUCACAACACGGUAGUUUCCUUUAAAAUGUUCCCAAGUCGGCUAUCCAGAACCAAUCAUACGCAAAAGCGAAUGUCAAAACCCCAGAAAAUAGUCAGGAGACUGCAUCAAGACAUGAUUCGAUGUAAUCUAUGACGCAGAGCACAAUUUUGAAAUACAGGAGGGAGAAGCGAGUGAAAAGUCUCAUUCAUAACGUCACGGAUGCGUGUAAAAAUUUGUGGGGCCGUGAGUUGGUCAUGGGGGUACAGUUUGAUUAUGGGGGUUAUGGGAAUAUGUAACGGAUUGGGAUGUGUGUUUUAUAUGUGUAUGAAAUGUACAUACUGUAUAAGUAGUGUAGAUAUGCUUGUUAAAGAGUUAAUCCCAACAUAUGUGAUCAUGUUAAUGGAGGCAUUGCACUGGUUUUAAGUCAGACUCUAGUUUAACUCGGACUUUGGCUUAGCGCGGACUCGGACUCGGAUUCGGAGUAGGACUUGGACGGAGAAUAGUAUAGAAUGAAAAAACUGCAAGCACGAGGUUGCAUAUGUAAUCAAUUUAGCUCUACUGCCAAACACUAGUAGAAGAUUUCAUCGCUUUUAAUCUGUCGGCCGUUUGAAUUUGCCAGAUGCAAAUGCAAGUUUAAAAUUUGCAUGGUGCUGGUUUAUUAAUUGAUAUAGGAUGAAGUGUACAGCGUAAAGGAAAGUUAUGGAUAAUUGGUAUGCUGCUUGUUUUUUUACAAAACGAUAUUUUUUAGAGUAGUAAUAAAUGAUGUGAUUUUUGAAAUUGCUUUAACUUGUCAGACAUGUCUUUCCUUUUUAAAAUAAAUUUUUCAUCAGUGGAUUUUUUUAGAGUCACUUUUAUUUCAUUUAACAUUCAUUUCUCUGUUUGUAGAAAAAUCAUGUUUGAAAAGGAACAAAUUUAUUUUCAAUAAAACUCUUUUCAUACGAUUAAUUUUUUUUUCCUUUACUUACAAUCGACUUCAAAUUCAUAAUCGAUUUCACUCUCGCAAGCGUUUUCGUCAGUUCAUUCGGCUUGUUUCAUAGUAUCGUGGCUGGUCCAAACCCAUCAUCAAACUUAACCGACUCAUUUUGUUUCAUCAGCCACUCUUUAUUCCUUGCAUCUAAUGAAUGUUUUUGCAUGAAAUGGUUUUCACUUUGUGCCACCCAACUUAGCUUUAAGAGUGCCGACCUCCUUCGUUCCACUUAUCCCCCUACAUAUAUAUAUAUAUAUAUAAAAUCUGCACUCACGGACGCAUUAGGCCGAUCGAUUCCUCCUAAAGUCUAUGUGUGCAUGAGGACAUUUUUCAGCUGGACAAAUGUUCCUAUAAAGUGGACUUAGCCGUAUUUGCCAUGGGAAACGAAUCUUCUUCUUGUCUGCUUUCCCUCUUUCAAGAAAUGAUUCAACCCGAUUUUCCUAUCGUUAGUUUGAUAUAACAAAAUGGAACGAAGUGUGCAAACAAAAUAACUUGCACUUCCUUAUUUUGACAUUUCCGAGAUAGACACUACUACAAUGCAGAACGGUUUUGUAGGUUAGGUCGGUAGGUAGGAAGAAAGGGUAUAUAGUAGAUAUAGAUGGGCUUUGUUCGUUUCUUUAGUUGAUUGAUUUAAAUGAAACGAACAAGUCCAUAUGAUGUAUGGAUAUCUGUUAAUAUGGGUUUAAACAAUUAAAUGGAAUUUCCGCCAUGUUUUUGCAUUACUCAAGCUGGAUAUAGGGAGAGAAUGAGUUUGUACGAAAUGGAACAAGAUUAGUAUGACUAUGGGACUGGAUGAACAAUUGCAACUUGUACAAUAGGCGUGAUCGAGACUAGGAUGUUGGGAAGAAUGAUAUUAUUAAUAAUGCAACGAUGAAAACACCAAAGAUCAUCCUGUUUGUUCGUUGGUUCAGCAAACAACUGGCGUAAAUCGUAACAUUUUAAGAAGUAUCAAAUAAAUUAGUAUCUCCGAUGUUGCGAUCGAGAUAAGCAAGCACUUAGGCUACAUCGAAACAAAAGUCGUUAGAGAAAGUUACUUGCAAAAUGGAUAGCAUCUCGCUUUCCCAUGGUAUCAAAUUGCAUCAAGUCUCGACUCUUGCUCAUGUAGCGUUGUCCGCUCUAUUUUUUCCCCUAAACACUUGGAUUUUAUUCAUUUAUUGGAGCAACAUUUACCUCGUCCUCGGUUACUAUUCUAGUGACCACUACUGCUGUUGUUGCUAUUCCUAGUGUUUCCUUUUUUUUCGUUCGGAUAGGAAUUUCCCGGUGUACAUUUUAUUUGGCAGCGUUUUAAACCACUAGAACCGUUGAACCGUUUCCUUCAUAACUUUUCAUCGGCCUAUGCAAGUAAAAGUCGACGGAUUCGCUACUUAGCAUCUUAUUGGGAUUGCGAAAUGAUUGUACAAUGGUGAGCACAAAUUGACUCAUUGUUGUACACAAAUCUUCGUACUUUUGUUACUAAGUGUCCCUUUCCUUACUAUGUGCAAUUUCCACCAUCCUCGCUUCAUUUUCCUUGCCCAUCCUCACACUCACCUCCAACGUUAAUAUGUAAAGUUUCGUAAAUGUAUUUUAUGCAGCUCCUUUAUGCAUUUACUGGAGUCUAAGCUCGGCUUAUAAAGGAUAACGUGGUUCUUCCGACUCCUUGCUUUCACCGUUCAGCCUGACUGCGGAGCUACAAGGAUGUUAUUGGCUUUGCUUGCGAAUUGCUCGUCCAAGCGAGCCAACUAAACCUCUUGAUGCCUCGCCUACUGUUCCCUUCCCUAGCGUUACCCGAGAAAGUGGCGCAAACCUUCCCCAUAUUUCCUGCGUCAUAGAAACGAACCAAUCUUAGAGGUUAGACCACUUUAUCUGUUCUCGAUUCAUCCACGUAUUGUGCGAUCAUUUUGUAUAUAAACAAGAGAGAUGGCUUCCUGCUCUGCUCAACACACACUCUCUUGGUAAACUGUUAAUCUAGAAAACCGGGAAGUUUCCGUUCUUUUCGUUAACGUUUUAUUUAUAUUUCAAGUCUCUAUUCUGUUCACUUGGAAAUUAUCAUUUAUCAGCGCUUUGUUUUUUUUGGAGCUACUGUUUUAGAAGAAGUUUUGAUCAAUUCUUUGUUUUAAGGGUAUACACAUUAUUUUUGGAAUUAUUCAGCCAUCAUGAAUUUCGAUAACUUGAAGAGUUUUGCCGGCAAGGCCUACAACGAGUACCAAAAGUACAACAACAAUGACAGCAACAAUAAUAGCAGCAAUAACAAUAACAACAAUAGUGAUAAUAACUCCUAUGGAGGAAAUAACAACAAUGACAAUUCCUAUGGAGGAAAUAACAACAAU